CAUUUGGUCAGCUAGGUAGCAUAUGAACAUGUGAAUAAAAGGUACUGAGCUUGCACAUGGCUGUUCUCUAGCACACUACCAGGUAUUUAAACCAUUGUUCUUAUGAAACAGAAAUCUCUGAAGACUUCAGAGAAAGAGUUUUUCUUCAAGAAAGAGAGAUGGACUGAUUGACUCCUCAAAAUGUCUUCAGGUCCUGGCAGUUGAUAAAUCACCAGUCUCACAGGAGGGAAGAAGGAAAUGAAAGCAAGGAAGAUAAAAGAGGUACACCUACAAUAUAAAUGCUGACAAGUUAUAAAUGAAGAAGAGAUAUGUGGUACAGAAGUAAAUACCAAAACAAAUAGCAUGUUAAUUUCCUCUUUUGAUGAUAUCACUUUCUGCUCCACAAAUAGAAAUCAAUUGCUUUGGGGUCUCUCUUCUUUCCCCAAAUAUUCCCAAGGUUUCCAUUGUGAUAUUGAAAAUGCAAAAGAUAAUAAUAAA